rnacentral:lncRNA from 1 species
GAGGGUAUUCGAUUGGGAUUGUUUGAAAUCCAUUAAAAUCCUGAGGUAUUCAAUUGGGAUUUUAAAUUAUGCUACAAAAUCUGGUGGUAUUCAAUUGGGAUUUUAAAUUAUGCUUUAAAAUCUGAUGAUAUUCAAUUGAGAUUGUUUAAAAUCCAUUAAAAUCUGAUGGUAUUCAAAUGCUGAUGAAUUUUUUUCAUUUCAUAAAAUGAUGGAUUUUGUGGCAUUCUUCAGUGUAUUUUAAGUUUUUUGAAAUCCCAUCAAAUUCAAUGGAAUUUUGAAGCAUUGUACCUAAAUCCAAUCAACUCUGCGACAUUUCAUCAAGAAUCCGCACAAAAUCAAAAUCUCAUACAAUCCAUUAAAAUCUAUAAGCUAAAAACAAUGCAUUAAAAUCCCAAUCGAAUACACCCCCGUA